CACACACUCCUGCUGCCCCGUCACACACACACUCCUGCUGCUCAGUCACACUCACACUCCUGCUGCCCCGUCACACACACACUCCUGCUGCCCCGUCACACACACACUCCUGCUGCCCCGUCACACACAUACUCCUGCUGCUCCGUCACACACUCAUGCACGCUCCCUGAUUUUCCGUCUUUUCUCUUCGUGACAGACCGGGGUUGAUGUCGGGAAAGGACAUUUUCCUGUCGUUAAAGGAUAAAGGGUCCGGUUAGCCCUGACCAUUAUCCGUUUCCAAUUCACCAACGCAAAGGCGCUUGCCCGAUCCAUCAAAACUCCCUUGAUGUGCCUGGUCUGAGGCUCACUCACUUUGGAACUCAAUAGUGAGUGUUACAACCGAGGACAGACGUGCUUCAGCC